rnacentral:rRNA from 1 species
GACGAACGCUGGCGGCGUGCUUAACACAUGCAAGUCGAACGGAAAGGCCCUGCUUUUGUGGGGUGCUCGAGUGGCGAGGGGGUGAGUAACACGGGAGUAACCUGCCCUUGACUUUGGGAUAACUUCAGGAAACUGGGGAUAAUACCGGAUAGGAGAUCCUGCUGCAUGGUGGGGGUUGGAAAGUUUCGGCGGUUGGGGAUGGACUCGCGGCUUAUCAGCUUGUUGGUGGGGUAGUGGCUUACCAAGGCUUUGACGGGUAGCCGGCCUGAGAGGGUGACCGGCCACAUUGGGACUGAGAUACGGCCCAGACUCCUACGGGAGGCAGCAGUGGGGAAUAUUGCACAAUGGGCGGAAGCCUGAUGCAGCAACGCCGCGUGCGGGAUGACCGCCUUCGGGUUGUAAACCGCUUUCGCCUGUGACGAAGCGUGAGUGACGGUAAUGGGUAAAGAAGCACCGGCUAACUACGUG